UGUCUCUUGUUCUGUGAGUUUAAUUGAUUUGGUUUCUAUUUUGAUUUGAAUAUAGAUUUGGUAUAAUGCUGCCUGUUUUGGUCACUGCCUAUCACUGGUUUCUGUUCUGAUAGCUGCUGCUAUUUUUUGCAUUUAAUUUGUUAUUGAUUCAGUAAUUUAUUGUUAUGCUGUUUUUGGUUUUGAUUCACUUCUGUGCUGUUAUUUAGUGUUUGCAUUCUGAUUUUUGUUAUAAUUUCUAAUUUGUUCUUGAUUUUUGGUUGGGCUACUUUCUGCAAUUUUCCAUACAUAAAUUAUGGCUAGGUGGAUAUCAGAGCAGCAACUGAAAUUUACGUGGUUGUUAUACUUUCAAGCACCUCCACCUGCUCUAUCAACUUGUUAUAACUGUUCCUUGAUCAUUGAUACUAUGCUUUGAUUUUUAGACCAGUAUUAAAUCAUAUAUAUAUGGAGAACAUAUUUUUGGCGUCUGAAUUCUGGUAUCUAGUAUCAUUUUAGUGGCCCUAUUAACGACAACUCUUCAUGUUGGUUUCAUAAGUAGAAAACUUAAUUUGGCUUCCUUGAUAAGGCUGACAAACUCAUUUCAGCACAAGAUGGGAGCAGAAUUCCAAUUUGCAAUUUAUUUAGGGAUACCAGCUACUUAUUUUCAUUGCUACUUCAUUAUUUCUCUUCUACAGACUUGUUUUCAAAGCAGACAACCUUGGUUGGAAAAUAUUGUCAACUGCAGUGCCAUUUGCUAUGGCUUUGACAGCUGAUCCUAUUGCUUCACUAGUUGACACAACAUUCAUUGGCCGAAUAGGUUCAUUGAGUGGUUGGGUUGUUGCUGUAGUGGGAGCUGUGGUAAAAGCAUUAAGGAUGCAAAGAAGCUCAAAUCUCUUUUGUUUAUGAUUAGAUAUUGUUAUGACUUAGACUUUUAUUAUGUGAUUUUAAAGUAUCUUAGUUUAUUUGACUUCUAAAAAUUUUUUUAUAGGUCACAA